GACGAACGCUGGCGGCGUGCCUAAUACAUGCAAGUCGAGCGAAUCAAUAGGAGCUUGCUCCUGUUGGUUAGCGGCGGACGGGUGAGUAACACGUGGGCAACCUGCCUGUAAGACUGGGAUAACUUCGGGAAACCGGAGCUAAUACCGGAUAAUCCUUUUCCACUCAUGUGGAAAAGCUGAAAGUCGGUUUCGGCUGACACUUACAGAUGGGCCCGCGGCGCAUUAGCUAGUUGGUGAGGUAACGGCUCACCAAGGCGACGAUGCGUAGCCGACCUGAGAGGGUGAUCGGCCACACUGGGACUGAGACACGACCCAGACUCCUACGGGAGGCAGCAGUAGGGAAUCUUCCGCAAUGGACGAAAGUCUGACGGAGCAACGCCGCGUGAGCGAUGAAGGCCUUCGGGUCGUAAAGCUCUGUUGUUAGGGAAGAACAAGUAUCGGAGUAACUGCCGGUACCUUGACGGUACCUAACCAGAAAGCCACGGCUAACUACGUGCCAGCAGCCGCCGUAAUAC
rnacentral:rRNA from 1 species